UUCAAAAGAAGCCUUAACCAUAAUUGGAGUAAUUAUUGGGAUUUUCGUGAUAAUUGGAGUAAUUCUAUGUGUCUGGAAAAAAAAAUUGCUUCGAAGAUGUCAAAGAAUCCCACAAGGAGGACAAAGAUAUCAAGGAAACCUACAUGGAGUUGGUGUUAAUCAGACUGACCCUGCUCGAAAUCCACUUUUGAACCCUGACCAACAAAGCGACAAUAUUCCUGGUACUGGUCAGAACGCAAAUGGAC